rnacentral:rRNA from 1 species
ACGACCGUACCGCAAACCGACACUGGUGCGCGAGAUGAGUAUUCUAAGGCGCUUGAGAGAACUCGGGAGAAGGAACUCGGCAAAUUGACACCGUAACUUCGGAAGAAGGUGUGCCUUUAGUAGGUGAAGUCCCUCGCGGAUGGAGCCCAAUGAGGUUGCAAAAAAUCGGUGGCUGCGACUGUUUAUUAAAAACACAGCACUCUGCAAACACGAAAGUGGACGUAUAGGGUGUGACGCCUGCCCGGUGCUGGAAGAUUAAAUGAUGGGGUGCAAGCUCUUGAUUGAAGUCCCAGUAAACGGCGGCCGUAACGAUAACGGUCCUAAGGUAGCGAAAUUCCUUGUCGGGUAAGUUCCGACCUGCACGAAUGGCGUAACGAUGGCCACACUGUCUCCUCCCGAGACUCAGCGAAGUUGAAAUGUUUGUGAUGAUGCAAUCUCCCCGCGGAAAGACGGAAAGACCCCAUGAACCUUUACUGUAGCUUUGUAUUGGACUUUGAACAGAUCUGUGUAGGAUAGGUGGGAGGCUUUGAAGUAGGGUCGCUAGAUUCUAUGGAGCCAACGUUGAAAUACCACCCUGGUGUGUUUGAGGUUCUAACCUAGGUCCAUUAUCUGGAUCGGGGACAGUGCAUGGUAGGCAGUUUGACUGGGGCGGUCUCCUCCCAAAGCGUAACGGAGGAGUUCGAAGGUACGCUAGUUACGGUCGGACAUCGUGACGAUAGUGCAAUGGCAUAAGCGUGCUUAACUGCGAGACUGACAAGUCGAGCAGAUGCGAAAGCAGGACAUAGUGAUCCGGUGGUUCUGUAUGGAAGGGCCAUCGCUCAACGGAUAAAAGGUACUCUGGGGAUAACAGGCUGAUACCGCCCAAGAGUUCAUAUCGACGGCGGUGUUUGGCACCUCGAUGUCGGCUCAUCUCAUCCUGGGGCUGUAGCCGGUCCCAAGGGUAUGGCUGUUCGCCAUUUAAAGAGGUACGUGAGCUGGGUUUAAAACGUCGUGAGACAGUUUGGUCCCUAUCUUCCGUGGGCGCUGCAGAUUUGAGGAAGCCUGCUCCUAGUACGAGAGGACCGGAGUGGACACACCUCUGGUGUAUCGGUUGUCACGCCAGUGGCAUUGCCGAGUAGCUAAGUGUGGAAGAUAUAACCGCUGAAAGCAUCUAAGCGGGAAACUCGUUUCAAGAUGAGAUCUGCCGGGGCCUUGAGCCCCCUAAAGAGUCGUUCAAGACCAGGACGUUGAUAGGUCGGGUGUGGAGGCGCAGUAAUGCGUUAAGCUAACCGAUACUAAUUGCUCGUGCGGCAUGACCG